rnacentral:lncRNA from 1 species
GGGCGCCGGACUCCGCCCAAAACUCCAACUGCAAGUAGACUCCACCCGGACUCCUACGGGAGCCGAGCUCCGUCCCCAACUUCAACUGCUGGUAAGCUUCGUUCGGACUCCUACGGGAGCCGGACUUCACCCCUGACUUUAAUUGCAGGAAGACUCUGACCGAACCCCUACGGGAGCCGGGCCUCGCCCCCGACUCCGACUGCAGAC